UAUACAUGCAGUCGAGCGAACGGACGAGAAGCUUGCUUCUCUGAUGUUAGCGGCGGACGGGUGAGUAACACGUGGAUAACCUACCUAUAAGACUGGGAUAACUUCGGGAAACCGGAGCUAAUACCGGAUAAUAUUUUGAACCGCAUGGUUCAAAAGUGAAAGACGGUCUUGCUGUCACUUAUAGAUGGAUCCGCGCUGCAUUAGCUAGUUGGUAAGGUAACGGCUUACCAAGGCAACGAUGCAUAGCCGACCUGAGAGGGUGAUCGGCCACACUGGAACUGAGACACGGUCCAGACUCCUACGGGAGGCAGCAGUAGGGAAUCUUCCGCAAUGGGCGAAAGCCUGACGGAGCAACGCCGCGUGAGUGAUGAAGGUCUUCGGAUCGUAAAACUCUGUUAUUAGGGAAGAACAUAUGUGUAAGUAACUGUGCACAUCUUGACGGUACCUAAUCAGAAAGCCACGGCUAACUACGUGCCACCACCCGCGGUAAA
rnacentral:rRNA from 1 species